rnacentral:rRNA from 1 species
UGCAGUCGAGCGGGCGUAGCAGUACGUCAGCGGCAGACGGGUGAGUAACGCGUGGGAACAUACCUUUUGGUUCGGAACAACACAGGGAAACUUGUGCUAAUACCGAAUAAGCCCUUACGGGGAAAGAUUUAUCGCCGAAAGAUUGGCCCGCGUCUGAUUAGCUUGUUGGUGAGGUAACGGCUCACCAAGGCGACGAUCAGUAGCUGGUCUGAGAGGAUGAUCAGCCACAUUGGGACUGAGACACGGCCCAAACUCCUACGGGAGGCAGCAGUGGGGAAUAUUGGACAAUGGGCGCAAGCCUGAUCCAGCCAUGCCGCGUGAGUGAUGAAGGCCCUAGGGUUGUAAAGCUCUUUUGUGCGGGAAGAUAAUGACGGUACCGCAAGAAUAAGCCCCGGCUAACUUCGUGCCAGCAGCCGCGGUAAUACGAAGGGGGCUAGCGUUGCUCGGAAUCACUGGGCGUAAAGGGUGCGUAGGCGGGUCUUUAAGUCAGAGGUGAAAGCCUGGAGCUCAACUCCAGAACUGCCUUUGAUACUGAGGAUCUCGAGUUCGGGAGAGGUGAGUGGAACUGCGAGUGUAGAGGUGAAAUUCGUAGAUAUUCGCAAGAACACCAGUGGCGAAGGCGGCUCACUGGCCCGAUACUGACGCUGAGG